CUCCAGACAACCUGGGUGGUGGGGUCAACCUUGGCCUUGGAUUGGGAGCAAGUGCUCUAGAACAAAACUGGUCUCCUACACAGCUGCAGAAGGUAGCCCCCUGAGAAAUUAACUGUUCCGGGUGUCUCCUGACUUUCAGUGCACGGCCACAUCAUGGUACCUAACUUGUGGCAAAUUGUUGCUUUAUAAGUAAGGAUCCAGUCCAAGUUCAUGUACUACAAUUGGUUACUUUGGUCUCUUUGCUUCUGAAACAGUCCCCAACAUUUAUUGUGGCAUUGACUUUUUUGUAGAGUCCAGGGCAUUCUAAUUUUAUAGAAUGCCCUGCUCUUGAUCUAUCAGACGAAAUGCUUCCUCUUGCAUUUAACCUGCUUCUCCACUCUCUGGGUUUCCUGUACACUGGACUGCUGGUAGAAGCCUGAUUAGAAGCAGGUUUAAUGUGGCAAAAAUUUCUCCUAGCAGUGCAAGGCCCCCUUCCCCAGAAGGCAGGCAGUGUCCAUCUGCUCCAGGAUUGGUGUGUUUUUAUCAAGAAUGGAUGUUGGAUUUUGGCAGUUCCCUUUUCGGCAGCUCUUGAGAUGAUCACGUGGUGAAUCAUUUUCUAUUACUACAGUGAAUUACAGUCACUUGAAUUCCA
ensembl:lncRNA novel transcript, sense intronic to DGCR6L